AUUGAACGCUGGCGGCAGGCCUAACACAUGCAAGUCGAGCGGGGUUUUCGGACCUAGCGGCGGACGGGUGAGUAAUGCGUAGGAAGCUGCCCGAUAGAGGGGGAUACCAGUUGGAAACGACUGUUAAUACCGCAUAAUGUCUACGGACCAAAGUGUGGGACCUUCGGGCCACAUGCUAUCGGAUGCGCCUACGUGGGAUUAGCUAGUUGGUGAGGUAAUGGCUCACCAAGGAGACGUUCUCUAGCUGGUUUGAGAGGAUGAUAAGCCACACUUGAACGGAGACACGGUCCAGACUCCUACGGGAGGGAGCAGUGGGGAAUAUUGGAAAAUGGGCGCAAGCCUGAUCCAGCCAUGCCGCGUGUGUGAAGAAGGCCUUCGGGUUGUAAAGCACUUUCAGCGAGGAGGAAGGGUGGUGUGUUAAUAGCACAUCAUUUUGACGUUACUCGCAGAAGAAGCACCGGCUAACUCUGUGCCAGCCGCCGCGGUAA
rnacentral:rRNA from 1 species